rnacentral:sRNA from 1 species
CCCUAGCCCCGAUAGCAGCGGUAUCCUUUUUAGGCAGUCGAAAAUUUCUCGUUUACCGUAAACGAUCUGCCUAAAAAGAUAUAGCGGAUAGCGGGAAACAGC